GACGAGCCACACGAACGUUAUUCGGAAUUACUGGGCUUAAAGGGUGCGUAGGCGGCGCGGAAAGUUGGGUGUGAAAUCCCUCGGCUCAACCGAGGAACUGCGCCCAAAACUACCGUGCUCGAGGAAGAUAGGGGUGAGCGGAACUUACGGUGGAGCGGUGAAAUGCGUUGAUAUCGUAAGGAACACCCGUGGCGAAAGCGGCUCUCUGGACCACAACUGACGCUGAGGCGCGAAAGCUAGGGGAGCAAACAGG
rnacentral:rRNA from 1 species